rnacentral:rRNA from 1 species
UGACGGUACCUGCAGAAGAAGCGCCGGCUAACUACGUGCCAGCAGCCGCGGUAAUACGUAGGGCGCAAGCGUUAUCCGGAUUUAUUGGGCGUAAAGGGCUCGUAGGCGGUUUGUCGCGUCUGCCGUGAAAGUCCGAGGCUCAACCUCGGAUCUGCGGUGGGUACGGGCAGACUAGAGUGAUGUAGGGGAGACUGGAAUUCCUGGUGUAGCGGUGAAAUGCGCAGAUAUCAGGAGGAACACCGAUGGCGAAGGCAGGUCUCUGGGCAUUUACUGACGCUGAGGAGCGAAAGCAUGGGGAGCGAACAGGAUUAGAUACCCUGGUAGUCCAUGCCGUAAACGUUGGGCACUAGGUGUGGGGGACAUUCCACGUUUUCCGCGCCGUAGCUAACGCAUUAAGUGCCCCGCCUGGGGAGUACGGCCGCAAGGCUAAAACUCAAAGGAAUUGACGGGGGCCCGCACAAGCGGCGGAGCAUGCGGAUUAAUUCGAUGCACCGCGAAGAACCUUACCAAGGCUUGACAUGUGCCANACCGCCUCAAANAUGGGGUUUCCCNUUCNGGGCUGGUUCACAGGUGGUGCAUGGUUGUCNUC